rnacentral:rRNA from 2 species
UUCUAUCUACAAUGUUCAAUCCCAACUUUUCUGAGUCCUAGUACGCAAGGAAUGGUCUCAGCGAUGCUCGACUAUAUUGGCCCCAUCGACGUAAUUAACUUCUGGCUGCUGCAAAGAAGGAAAACAAAGGGUUAAGGGAUUAAUUAGGUGCC